UUCGUAGUUAAGUUGCAAAUGGCGGAUAGCGGAUGCCUUGGUGAUGAACGGCGAUGAAGGACGUGGAAAACUGCGAUAAGCUUCGGUAAG
rnacentral:rRNA from 1 species